rnacentral:rRNA from 1 species
UAACGAAUAUUAGGCAAUGGGCGAAAGCCUGACCCAGCAAUGCCGCGUGAGUGAGGAAGGUUUUCGGACCGUAAAGCUCUGUCGAGCGGGAAGAAAUGCAUAGUGGCUAAUAUCCAUUAUGCUUGACGGUACCGCUAAAGGAAGCACCGGCUAACUCCGUGCCAGCAGCCGCGGUAAUACGGGGGGUGCUAGCGUUGUUCGGAAUCAUUGGGCGUAAAGAGCGUGUAGGCGGCUGGAUAAGUCAGAUGUGAAAGCCCUGGGCUUAACCUAGGAAGUGCAUUUGAAACUGUUCAGCUUGAGUAAGGGAGAGGAAAGUGGAAUUCCUGGUGUAGAGGUGAAAUUCGUAGAUAUCAGGAGGAACACCGGUGGCGAAGGCGACUUUCUGGCCCUAUACUGACGCUGAGACGCGAGAGCGUGGGUAGCAAACA